rnacentral:lncRNA from 1 species
ACCUAACAGUGCCUUCUGCCCCUGGCACAUUCGCCACAGAAGAAGACUGCUCUGGGACUCACCAGUAUGGGAUGGUGCUGUGGCAGCAGUCUCCUUGGAACUCACUGGAUCCUUAGAAUUAUUUUGUGGUGCUUGUUCUGCAUCUUGAAAUGACGACCUGUGCCUCUGGGACUCAGCUGCAAGGAAGACAAGUGGAAGUGCACUAGAUGGAUGGAUGAAGGCACUCUCCCAGGCUUCCAACUCUUGAGAUGAACGGAACUUAUAAAUGAUGGCAUUAUAAGCAUAAACACGAGCCCCUGGGAAAAGCAUCUCAGCUUCCUCAAACACAGCCGGACCCAAAGAAGAGGAGCUCCACCUUCCUGGAAAACUGAAAGAAAUGAGAACUGUCUGGAAGGAGACAGUGGUGUGAAGACAGACAUGGCUGGCUGUGGCUUUUCCAGAG